rnacentral:lncRNA from 1 species
CUACUUUCUACAUGCCCUUCUAACUAUAUGUCAUUACAGUCCAACCAUCUCCAGUACCAAUUUCAAGAUCUGCUGCAAGAAGUCCCAUGAACCACAUCCAAGAUGGUGUGUUUUCUUUCUAAACCAUAGCAUAUGCGAUGGGAUAUAUACAAUCAUUUGCAUCUAGACCAGAGACCGUGAACAAUAUGCCUCCAAAACAGCCCCACAGGUAGCAGCCAUCUACUCCAAUCACUUUCCUACAACCUUUUAUAAAGCUAGUCUUACAUGGUUGGAAACAAAAGUAUAUCCCCUGGAAAACAUCAUUGAAUGUGUUGGUGGUCACAUUUGAGCUUGGAUUGGUAUACAACACCUCUGAAGCAUAUGACCACAACAGUGCGAACUGCUUCUCAAUUAUCCCAUGCAGCAAAUCAUUUGUGUAUCUUCUCAUUUUCAACGCCACAUUUCUGGUGAUAUCAGUUCUCAAAUUCUCUUUCACUGCAAUCAGAGUUUGGAUCUGCCUUGAACAUCUUGAUGUAACGACGAGUCAAAAACUAGUAACUGCAAUGCCUGUGGUAUUUGUCAUGAUUGCAUGUGUGCUCAAUAGUAUAUGAUUUCACUUGGACACUACCUG